UAUGUUUGGAACUUAAUCCACACAAGUAAACCAAGUUCUGCCUCAUCACAAGCUACUAGUGUCUUCUCUAACACAUAACCAAUAGGUUAUGGGCCCAGCUCUAGACACUAGAAAAAGGAAAACUACAAGCAAAUCUUGAUAAAGUACCAGGAACCCACCCACUUGUGUCUGGAGAUUGGGUGCUGGUAAAAAGACACGUUAGAAAAGUCCUUAAAACCCUGUUUUGAUGAUCCAUUCCAAGUGUUGUUGACCACAAGCACAUCAAUGAAGCUUGAAGGAAAGACUAAUUCGAGUCAUUUCAAGAAAUUGUUGAGUCUGGAGACUUGAAAGGAUGCUUCUUGUUCCCCCUUGUGUGACUGCUGAUCCGGACUAAAAGAAUAUAGAUUCUAAUUGAGAUAAUAAAAAUGGGUUUCUAGGUAGGGGAAUAGUUCUUAUGUUCACAAUAAUCAAUAGCCAGGUCAUGAAUGCCCUAAAAGGGCUUACUUCCUAUUCCUAAAUUUAUCUUUAAUUCUGCUUGUUCUGAUGUUGUCUCAUCCCCUGCAUUAGGAGGUUUUUGUUCAGCUGAGGCUACCCCGGAGAUGCUCAUGGGAGACCUCCAUAAGGAUGGGAGACCUCCAUGAGGGUGGGAGACAAAGUCCACUUAGUUCUGUUGGUCCCCGCCCUGCUUACAGUGCCACGUGGAGAUCAUCGACCAUAGGGACUGACAUCUGACUUCCCCAUGUUAAAUCCAGUGUAAUGGGAGGUUAUACACUAGGAUAGGUUGUCAUGAAAGCUGGCAAAGAGGAUUCGGACCACUGGGGCAGAUGUGCUAGGCUUUCAUUAGGGAAAGAAUGAGGUCCAAGGGGGGACUGAUAGAGAUGUGGUCAUCAUUCUUUGAUUCAGCUAAGAAAGCUCCCAUAUACUCCAGCUCUCAGACAACACCUUAUCUUCUCCAGAGCACGAAGUUCCACCCUACCAAAGCGAACACAACUCCAUGCUACGUCAUAUAUGCUUUUUUGCUGUUAGUGAAGACUACAUUACAAGAUGGCGCCUACAAUAUCUGUACAGAUAUUUACAUAGUUCACAUACCACAAUUAGUAAAACAUUGCACACUGCGCAGAUGCCAAGUGCUAUCUCUUUUCUUAUUUUCAUAUUUCAGCCAAUGUAACAAUGCCAUAUACCUCAGGGGGAAUGCCCCUCUGAUGUCUAUAUAACCUGCUUCACUUCCUGUAAUAAAUGAGAAUUUGCUUUGA